GGCCAAGAUGCCAGGUCGCUAGUCCCCUGUAGUGCCGUGGGCCAGGAUGAGCUGCUUUGAAGAAGCUGCCGCCCCUUGCGCCCUGGACCAGAGAGAGGAACACGUGUGAAUGAAGAAUGAGGUUUUGCAUGCUGGGACCAGUAUGGGAUGCUGGUUGCUGGUUUGCUGGACCCCAGCAUGGGGAGCAAGUGUGCUGGUGGACUAGCAUAAGAAGCCUAUCUGGAACCGCAACAACAACAAAACAGCCCAACAGAUACACAUGGAGCAGACACACAGGAAACGCACCUGAAGGAGACACAUACAUGGGGGAACUGCAGACCUGCAGCACGGUUCUCAUGAACCAGUG